AGUGAACGCUGGCGGUAGGCCUAACACAUGCAAGUCGAGCGGCAGCACAGUAAGAGCUUGCUCUUACGGGUGGCGAGUGGCGGACGGGUGAGGAAUACAUCGGAAUCUACUUUUUCUUGGGGGACAACGUAGGGAAACUUACGCUAAUACCGCAUACGACCUACGGGUGAAAUCAGGGGAUCUUCGGACCUUGCGCGAUUGAUUGAGCCGAUGUCGGAUUAGCUAGUUGGCGGGGUAAAGGCCCACCAAGGCGACGAUCCGUAGCUGGUCUGAGAGGAUGAUCAGCCACACUGGAACUGAGACACGGUCCAGACUCCUACGGGAGGCAGCAGUGGGGAAUAUUGGACAAUGGGCGCAAGCCUGAUCCAGCCAUACCGCGUGGGUGAAGAAGGCCUUCGGGUUGUAAAGCCCUUUUGUUGGGAAAGAAAAGCAGCAGGUUAAUACCCCGCUGUUCUGACGGUACCCAAAGAAUAAGCACCGGCUAACUUCGUG
rnacentral:rRNA from 1 species